CAAAAUCAUCAAUAGGGUGGCAGGAUGAGAGUACACCGACAAAAUCCAUCAGCAUUGCCAUUGUCACACCAAUCAUCUUGUCAAGGGGUUAGGGAUGCCAUGAACCACAUCAAGAAAGCUAUCUCCAUAGCUCGUGCCAAUAAAAUGUAAUAUGGUACAAUUGAUGGGUCAUCCUACUUAAUUUUAUGCAAUUCUGCUAGCCCUACAAGGCUAAUCCCAAAGACUAAACACUCAAGGACAUUGAUCUCUCUUCCACUUGAGCUAGCCACAUUCUUCAAAAUCAAGCUGCACCAAUUGAUUUUUCCAUGAAAUGAAG